UUGAAACUCGAACAUUUCUGCCUUUUCGAUCGUUACUCGAAAAACGCGAGACCCAUCGCGCGAAUAGUAUUUGGAUUUGACUUAAGCUUCCCUUUGCUAUGCUAUGAUGUUAGCUCACUAAAUUUAAUUUUACGGUCGCUCAACAAAAUUUGGCGUGUUUGUGUUUGUAUUCAGUUAAAGUUAAGAUUAGAAAUAAAAUGUUCUGAAUAAAAUCAAUAAACACGAGUUGUUUGUGAAACUGGAAAUACAUUCUGGGUCUCAGACGACAAAUGCAUGUCACCGAACUUGUUUGACCCAAUUUUAUAAAACAAAAAAUAAAAUAACGUACCGUCACCUACCUGACGUUUUCAAAUUACCAAGUCCAUUACAUAUGGCCGAUUAAAUUUAUUGGCUCACUAACAAGAGAGAACAUUAAUACGUUUGCGACAAAUAUAAGUAUGUGCAUUAUGAACAAAAUUGAAAUACUAAGUGUAAAACAAUUGUAGAUGAAAAUAAUAUUAUAUUUAAUAAAAAGUGCAAUUAGUACUUGUCACUUCAUAUAUACUCGUACAUAUGUAUGUAAGUAUAUGUUAUAAAAUGAUAGAGUUACAUGUUAUAAGAUUUAAAGCAUUUAUAAGAUAAGGUUUUAUAAGAGAAUCGUAUUUUAGCCUGGGAUUUGCUUGGUAUUUUCUACUAAAACUGUUUGUGUUUGCAUUCGGUUAAAGUUAAGAUUAGAAAUAAAAUGUUCUGAAUAAAAUCAAUAAACAAGAGUUGGUUGUGAAACUGGAAAUACAUUCUGGGUCUUAGACGACAAAUGCAUGUCACCGAACUUGUUUGACCCAAUUUUAUAAAACAAAAAAUAAAAUAACGUACCGUCACCUACCUGACGUUUUCAAAUUACCAAGUCCAUUACAUAUGGCCGAUUAAAUUUAUUGGCUCACUAACAAGAGAGAACAUUAAUACGUUUGCGACAAAUAUAAGUAUGUGCAUUAUGAACAAAAUUGAAAUACUAAGUGUAAAACAAUUGUAGAUGAAAAUAAUAUUAUAUUUAAUAAAAAGUGCAAUUAGUACUUGUCAAUUCAUAUAUACUCGUACAUAUGCAUGUAAGUAUAUGUUAUAAAAUGAUAGACUUACAUGUUAUAAGAUUUAAAGCAUUUAUAAGAUAAGGUUUUAUCAAAUUUGCAGUAUGCUACCAGUAAGAGAAUCGUAUUUUAGCUUGGGAUUUGCUUGGCAUUUUCUACUAAAACUGUUUGUGUUUGCAUUCGGUUAAAAUUAAGAUUAGAAAUAAAAUGUUCUGAAAAAAAUCAAUAAACAAGAGUUGUUUGUGAAACUGGAAAUACAUUCUGGGUCUCAGACGACAAAUGCAUGUCACCGAACUUGUUUGACCCAAUUUUAUAAAACAAAAAAUAAAAUAACGUACCGUCACCUACCUGACGUUUUCAAAAAAUCUGACGUUUUCAAAUUACCAAGUCCAUUACAUAUGGCCGAUUAAAUUUAUUGGCUCACUAACAAGAGAGAACAUUAAUACGUUUGCGACAAAUAUAAGUAUGUGCAUUAUGAACAAAAUUGAAAUACUAAGUGUAAAAUAAUUGUAGAUGAAAAUAAUAUUAUAUUUAAUAAAAAGUGCAAUUAGUACUUGUCACUUCAUAUAUACUCGUACAUAUGUAUAAGAAAGCGGCUUGCAAAGUACACGUAUAUACUAAGUAAAUACUAGGAACUUACUUAUAUUUGGCACUAAUAUCCAGCAACAAAUGAACAAAAUUGCGAGACCCAAUUCCAGGAUGUGCCCGCAACUAUUUCGUACAGGUAACAUGUUAUUUACAAAAGUAUGAUAUCAAAUAGAAAAAAUAUAAUUGUAAUUUUCUCUGUUGCAGUGCUACUUUAAAACUAUUUACGUUCCUUUAUAAACUCAAACUGUAACUGCGGCAACGAAAUAUUUUAUUUUCACAUCCGAAUGCAAACUGAAUUGAUAUAUUUAUACGUGCGUGCACAGCAAAGGAAGAGCAAGGAGGUGACGGUGGAAUUGGUGGAGGUUUUUGGACUUAGCAUUGGUGCAAUAUAUAACAACAACGCAGAAAACAAUGGAAAAUAACAUGGUAAAUAUACCAUCCAUGCGUACCAUGCGUAUAUGUGCAUGUAGUGUUAGUGCGUAUUAAGAUGUACAUACAUACAUACAUAUGUAUAUAUGUAUGUACAAGAAUGCAUCUGUUGCAUUGUGUCCAAAAUAAUGGAUUGUUAUUAUUUUGUAAAUAACCUUGCCAGGUAUUUGAUUAGUGAAACUUAAGAUGUAUGUACGUAUGUAUAAGUACGCAUCGGUAUUAUUUACUUUGCACAAAUGGAGGAUUACAAUAGUUACAACUUUUCUUAGGCAUGAUGAACAAGACAACAACAAAUCCCAUCGAACAUUUAGAUUAGCAGUUGCACAACCUCUUUCCGACGAGCUGAACCUUUUUAUGAUGUACAUAUGGGAUAGGAUUGUGUGGAAUUGACAUCAAACAAUAUUGGUUCAUUAGUUUCGUUGGAUCCUUACAGGAUAGUUAUAAGGAAAUCGUUCGCGUUUAGUAUUAAUUUAUUCAUUUGCUAAUUCAUAAUUUAGAUGUAAAAUAUUAUUAAAUUAUACAAAUGAAUGUUCGAAUACUAAUAACAUUCGUAAUAGUAAUGGAAUUUUAUUUGAAUUGUAUAACAACAACUACAAAAAAAUAUUUAAUAAUUAAUACUAAAUUUAUUUGUAAAAUAUGUAAAUUUUGUCAAUAUAUAAAUAUAAAUGUAUAAAAAAUCAAUGUAUAAAUAGCUGCAAAAACGUUUGUAAAAAUGAUA